rnacentral:lncRNA from 1 species
GAGGGAUCCCACAGAGCCCCCCUCCCAGUGGUCAGGUCUUUGUGACAUCUCCUGCCCAGCAGUGUGAGUUGGACCUAGCAACACUCUUCUAACAGAGUACAGCAGAAGUGAUGGGAUGUCACUUCUGAGAUUGGGUUAGAAAGAGAUUCUGGCUUCAAUCUUGCUCACCAGCUCUUGUUCUCUCUUGCUUUCUCCCUUGCUUGCUCUGAGGGAAGUACUGCCAUGUUGUGAGCUGCCCUAUGGAUAGACCCAUGUGGCAGGAAACUGAUAACUCUGGCAAACAGCCAGCCAGGAUCUAACGCCUGCCAACAGCCGCAGGAGUAAGCUUGGAAGUGGGUCUUUUGACACCUGCCAACAGCCACAUGGGUGAGCUUGGAAGCAAAUUCUCCCCCACUUAAGCCUUGAGAGGACUGUAGCCCCAGCCAACACCUUGAUUGCAGUCUUAUUAGAGACCUUGAGCCAGAGGACCCAGCUAAGACAUCCUAUUUUAGAAGAAUGGGAAAAGGAAGAGAAAGAAGAGGGAAGCUCAGAAGGGCAUAAUAUUUCUUUUUUCCAUGAAAGGGAGUCAAAAGACACCAGCUUUGAUUAAGCUGUAUUCAUAGGGUCUAAACCAAAUAAGGCAGAAUGUGAAGGAAAAAAAGCAGGUGGCUGAGAACAGAACCUGAGGAACAUGAAAAGCACUGGUGGAGGAAGAGGAGCCCAUAAAGGACACGACACAUAUCUGGAGAGGCACGAGGAGAAUCAGGAGCAUGCGACGUGGUGGAACUCGGGGAAAUUGUGGUCCACAGAGACUAAAACAGCAGAGAAGGGGAAUGCCAACAACUGAAGAAUGCCCAUUUGAUCAGAAAUCGAGGAACUGAGACAGCAGCAUAGACUACUUUGAAAAGCUUUGACAGGAAGAAGAGAAAGCGUAGAGAUGUGAGAUCAAGGGAAUGGUCCCGGUUUCGUUUUUAGGGUUGUUUUGGAUAUCUGCUGCUACAUACGAAACCACUCGAAAACUUACAACUUAAAGAUGUAUUAUCUUUCAGGAUUCUAUCAAUUAAUACAGUAGCUCUUCUGCUGGUCUCUCCUUUGGUCACUCUUGGGUGUAUAUUCAGCUGGUGGGGCAUCUGCUGGGGGGACACUAGGCUUCUCUCUCCAUGUGGUGUCAGAACCUUUCUCACAAAGUGGUCACUCAUGCUCCAGGGCCUCUGCCACAUGGCCAUUCUCUCCAGCAGGACAGUCUGGACUUCCUUGUGACAUGGCGGCUGGCUCCAAAAGGGAAUAAUCCAAGAGAGAUCAGCUCAGUGUGCAAGCACUUACCAAGCCUCUACCUGCGUCACACCUGCUAAGGACCUUUUAGCCAAAGCAAAUGACAUGGUCAAGUCUAGAGUCCACAUGGGAGGGGACUACACAAGGGUGUGAAUACUGGGAGAACCGAGAGGUGGAAUCUAUCCAUAUAAUAAUCCUAUAAGGAUGGGGUUUUUUCCCUUAAUAUGAUACAGACCUAAAAAUGUUUCUAGGCUGAGCCCAAAAUAACUAAUUGAAAGGGAGACACUGAAGAUACUAAUAGAGUCCCAGAGUCUCUACCCCAAUGCAACAUGGGGUAGAGACUUGGAAUUUGUGGUAACACCAACUCCACCAUCAUUUUGCUUCUCCGUCAACACUCAGUCUGCAUGUUGAAGCUGAGGAAGCUGAUAAGUUUUGAUCCAAGUGUAGAAUUUGGUCAUUGGGUGCUGCAGAAGGAGAGUGGUGCCAGGGAAUUGUGGGUUACUGGAGAGAGUAAACUGAAGAAGAGAAACAGGUUCUGACUCCAUAGGUAAGAAAGAGAGGCCAGGAGGGGACCGACAGAGGAAAGAGAGGAGUCAUGAAACUGGAGAUCUCUACAGGUUCAAAAUAGACUGAACUGUGAAUAAAGAUGUGAGGAAAGGAAGAGAAGUUGAAGCCCAAAGAGGUCCAAGA